rnacentral:lncRNA from 1 species
GAGUACGUACACGUCUACAUUUUAUGAAAGCUAGAAACUUAAAGUCAUCUAUAGCCAACAAUUUUUAAUUGACCCUACUGGUCUACAUCCAGUCUAAAAGUACCGUCGGGGAUGCUAGCUAACAGAGAAGCUUCUUUUUUCAGAAAUAGAACACAUGUCCUGUUUCGAGAAAAUGGAAGUUAACACCACCAAGUAAAUCAAUCUUGAAAAAAUAAUAAAGUUUCGAGAUGACCCUACAUUAUCAAUUUACACAAAUGUAUGUCAUAUCUUUUCUUACAUAUUCAUAUUGGAGAAUAAAGUCAUCCAGGAAUAAACAAAAUGUUCAGAUUAUCAGUUUUCGUUAAUAUGAAACCUUAUGAAUCAUAUUUCCUCAAGUAUGUACGUCUCCCAGCCGCGCGUCAACACCUUUCUCAUGUUCAGUUUCGAAGCUUCGCCAUUCACCACGACACGGCCGAGCCGCCGCCAUCAAUUUCUUUGAAAACUUGGAUAGAUAGAUUAGAUAGAUAUACAGUGCACCAAAAUAGAAUAUAUUCAUAGGAAAAGUAAUGAAUACACCUGAUAUCCCAACUCCCAAGAAACUUUUGUGGUAAAAUAAAACUAACACAUACCAUGGCUAUCCAACAGUACAGAGUAGUCAGUUUAUCUAACAGCAGCAAAAGUGCACAACUUAUCAGUUUAAUACAUGAAAGAAUAUUUAAACUCCAACAAAACAUUUCAUAACCCCUCUUCUAACCCAUUUAGACAAGCUGUACUAAAUCGUACUAUAGCAACAACGACAAGGGAGCAUCAUUCAGCAGUAGCAACACACAUACCGAGGGCAUCAAUGCAGUUCACAUCUUGAGGGGAAUUCUCUGCUUAUUGCCCCUUCCUCCAGUUUGCAUGUGACAAAUUUCAAUGUAAAUUUUCCUAGAACUCUUGUAAAAAAGAGAGUGGCCCAAAUUAGAAUUUUAUCCCGAAAACUCUUAACUUUGCAUAAUAGAACAAAACUAAAAGUUUCAGAUCACAUCAUUAAAUAUCUUCAAGGAUAGAAAAAGAAAAGAAAAAAAGGAACAAUGUAGUCUGUUGAUUUUCUAAUUUCAUUGAUCAGCAAGAAUGCUAUUUCAUUUUACAACAAAAGAAAGCAGAUACAAGUAGCUAGAUACAUCAACACUAUAAAUGGACAAACUGAACUGAAGACUACCUUGUGGUCCUUCCAAAAUUCUUUCACAACCCAAACCAUGAGAUAAAGUACAUCAAGGCUCUUACAGAAGACUUGCAACUAAAUUAUUAGUAAUUAUAUGAGCAUCCCUUUUCAGAGAUUUAGUAAGGAGAAAGAAGAGCAGUGGUACCGCAUCCUUUCUCUGGUCUCCAGGUUUAAGUGGAAUGGCGUUGCGGUUGCCAUUGUUGGAUACCUCCUACGUUUGUGCUUCUGCUCGUCUGGUGCCUAGCUCAACUCUAGGUAGCUCAAAUCUACCGAAAAACAGCUCAACAGCGUCUCGUCUCCCUGCUUGAUUACCACAAUUCAGUUCGAAAGCAAAAUCAGGUCAAGAUCACCCUGCAUAGUAGGAAACAAUUGCAAAUUGAACAGAAUUCCAUUGAAACAUAAAUAGGUUAUGACUUCACCAAAGAAACAUUAGGAAGGGAAACAUGAAUGUUAUAUAUCUUGAGAUGAACCGCUUCAUCCAUGAAUAAACUCCAAUAUAUUAUUAUUGCUCGUAUCUCGCACUUAUUACAGAAAGAAAACAAGAAAGUACUAU